UGACUCAUGUUCUUGGUGUAGCACCAGCCUGGGCCGUGGGCUCUGUCUUAGGGCUUACCUAUUGGUGCUAGUAUCUGCGUGGGGGUCCUGUGUAUGGGAUUGAUGGGGCAAACAAGUUUUCUUCUCUGCUUUACAGGCAUAUGUCCCUCCCCAACUCUUCUAUAAUGGGAAGGUGGAUUAUUUUGACCUUCAGUGACUCAGAGGUCUUCCGUCUCAUCUCAAGAAGACUCUGAAAGCUCAUUAUGGUGUGUGGUGGGGACAGCGGAGACGUGCUGAGCAGAGUCAGGUCUCAGUCCCUCUUUUUCUAAGAACUCUGACAGACGUCAUCAAUGGCCUCAAGCAUUUCCAGAGUGUACAAAAGCAGCAAUCUGUAGAAAGAAAAAAAAUUAAAGAAACCUUAAGAUCAUUUCUUUCUAGACUCCAAUCUCAAACUGCUCUUUCUUAAAAGCAACUCAUACGUAUCCUUGUAUGCUUUCUUCAAUCUCAUUUACAGUGCAGUAGUAAAAGCCAUCAGACUUU